rnacentral:rRNA from 1 species
GAUGAACGCUCGCGGCAGGCCUAACACAUGCAAGUCGAGGGAUAAGCCUUCGGGCUAAGACCGGCGCACGGGUGCGUAACGCGUAUACAAUCUGCCUUUUAUCCGGGGGAUAGCCCGAAGAAAUUUGGAUUAAUACCCUAUGGUAUAAGAGCACGGCAUCGUGCACUUAUUAAAGCUACGGCGGUAAAAGAUGAGUAUGCGUUCUAUUAGCUAGUUGGAGAGGUAACGGCUCCCCAAGGCGACGAUAGAUAGGGGUUCUGAGAGGGAUGUCCCCCACACUGGUACUGAGAUACGGACCAGACUCCUACGGGAGGCAGCAGUGAGGAAUAUUGGACAAUGGUCGGAAGACUGAUCCAGCCAUGCCGCGUGCAGGAUGACGGCCUUAUGGGUGGUAAACUGCUUUUGUAAGGGAAGAAUAAGGAGUACGUGUACUUUGAUGACGGUACCUUACGAAUAAGCAUCGGCUAACUCCGUG